GACUCAACAUAUGAAUUUGGAGAAGACAGGGAAUGAGCACAAAUGCCGUAUGUUACCAGAGCAACACAAUCAACCAAUUAAACUUGCCACCUUUGAUGGGAAAUAUAAUAACCAAACAGUGAAUAAGAUAAAGGUAAAUUAGUGACCUUGCUUUGCAACACGGCAGAGACACGAAUAUCACCGGAUAAGCACGGACCAACACGUUAUCUACACUUUAUCUACACGGACCCUACCAUAUCUUCAACAACAAUUACAAUCACUGUAGCGAUACAGACCACACAUGAUUUGCCCGUGACUGACAAUAACUUGUUUAACAGCAGGUUGGCUUUAGGUGACUAAAUCAAUUUGGCUGCCCGUUUAUUGCAGUGCUUGCAGGACCUUUCCACAAACGCCUGCAACACAUUGGGGAACCGCGACACAGGACGCUGUUGGUGCACAGAUUUGUUCGCUUGCUGACAACUAAGGUUUGUGGUAUGUGUUGCAAGUCGGUCUGCUCUUAACUACGCUAAUAACGAUAACCAAUGCAUCUGCCUGGUUAUACUUCACCACUGGUACACUGCAGACAUAAUGUGUGUAUGACAUCAGUAGCGUUUAACAGCUUAUGCGACGACAUUGGCAAGUUUGUCAUUGAAAUCUGUAAAUAUUGGCUGCUUUCAGGGAAAACGGGGCUUAAUGCAUGUCAAAUUAGUGGUGUCCCAGAUUAGCCUUUGCACACUGAUUAGCCUGUGCAAUGCGCACAAGCUAAUCAAGGACGACACUUUCUGAUUGUAUGGUGAUUUUCGUUUAAAGAAAGUCUCUUGUACUGGGAUGACAAUAAAUGUAUAUGCAUUAAGCCUUGUUAUACCAAAA